AAAAAAAAAAAAAAGGAAAAAUACAACCUUUGAGAAUUUGUCAAAGAAGACAAGAAGAUGCCUUUGAAUUGUAUAUGGAAUGGGAGAGUGAAGAGAGGACAGUGUCAGUGAGUAAAAAAGGGCAAAAGCAAAAACCAAAAACAAAAAAAUGCUUCCUCUUCCUCUAAAGCUGGUUCGCUCUCUCGUCUUUGGCCAAACCAUUAACAACAACCCUUUCCUUCUCACCCGAAAUCACAGUACCCACCACCAACAACAUCAAGACGAAGACAACGACGACGACGACGACGACGAAGAAGAAGAAGAAGAAGAAGAAGAAGAAGAAGAUGGUGAUGAUAACCAUGACAAUGGUCUCCACCAUCACCACCGCCAUCAUCAUCAUCGGAAAUGUACUAGACCAAAGCUCAAAUCCAAGAAUGCCAAAUCCAAAACCCCAUUGCUCCUUUUCCUCCCAACCAAAGAGCUUGUAACUGACACUUACAGGCUAGCAACCAUAGCCAGAGACAUGGGCAUGGAUUUGCAUCCGACCCCAUCUCUAUCCCACAUCAUUCUCUCUUACCCAUCUUCCUCUUCUUCUCCAUCUUCAACAUCCCCUUCUUCGUUCCCAUCCUCAUGGUCUUCGUCUUCGCUCUCAUCGUCUUGUUCUUUGCCGUCAAACGCCGUUCCUCUUCCUUUCCCUUCGUUUUCUUCGGCCUCACUGACUCAUCUCCGCUCCUUCGUCAAGCUCUCCAAAGGUCUGUUCAAGCUUGUGUUUUUGAGCUCCAAUGGUACGAACAACGAGACGAGUGUUGGGAAUUCUAGCAACUGGAAUUGCUGUUCGAUUUCUCUGUUUUCGCGGCUAACCGGCGACCGGAUUGACACGAUGGAAGGGUUUUGUCGGGCUUUGGCCGGAAAAGGGUGGACCCUUUUCAAGACUAAAGAAAACCCAUCUGUGGAUUCCGGCGAUAGGAUAGUUCCUGGUCGGAAAUCGGUAUACCUGUUUAGGAAGGUGGAGACGAGCAGGGUUCGGAGUGGGCGGAGAAAUGGGGAUGGUGGAAAUGGUGGGGAGAGUAGGGUUAGGGAGCUGAGGUUGCCUCAAUUGGAUUUUAGGAAUGCCCCUUUGAGGAUUUUGCAGUACAUUCUUCUAAUGACUGAUGAUAUGUUCUAUCUUGCAUAAAAUGGAUUACUUCCAGAUCUGCCAAGCUUCAGCAUUUUUGAGCAGCUGUAUUUCUUAAUCAGAACCCCGAAUUUUACACAUUAUGCAGGAACUGUAGGGAACUGUAUUUUAGCCCCUUGCUUUGAGAUUACAAGCACUGUGAUAAGCCCCUGAUCCCAUUUGCCCAUUGUCGAAAAUGAUCCUGUGUUUUGUUAGGCUUUGUAAACUCCUGUUCAGGUGUUGAAGAUCAACUGCGUUCUGACUUAACCAAGGUAAAGAAAUAUCCUGUAUCUUUUUCCUCUUCUAAUACUUUCGUUGCCUGUAUUCCUCAUUUUCCUUUUUAUGCUUCACUGCAUUGGAAGCCUUCUUCAUACUAGAUUCGGUUCUCUGGAAUUUUAUUGCUGUUCCUUCGCUUUGCUGUCUCACCCUUUGGGGUGGCGGACUGAAUCAAUUAGGAGCAGGUUUUUAGUGCCACUUUUGCAUUCUAUAAAGCUAGUGAACCGAGAUAAAUGCACUGAAUUUUAGAAAUGACCCGUUAUUGACUUUCCCUAGUUGCUCAUGAUGUCUUAUUUGUAAUUGAACUGCUGUAUAUUUUCUGUAUUUACUUAUUUGGAUUUUGUUUCUAAUGGCUUUUAAGGUCUUGUAUUUUUACUACUCUAUAUGGGGUUAUAAUUGUCAAGUGCAUGUUUUGUUUGCUUAAUAUGCAUGGUUGGGUCCUAAUAGCUGAAAUUUUGGGGAUUUUAUCUUAUUAUUGUUAUUAUUUUAUUUAUUAUUAUUAUUAUUUUUUUGUCAAAUAUCAGAUUUCAGAUUGUCUGUUUGGUCUUGUGUUCAAAUCUUGAUAGCCCUGCUUGUACACUUGACACACGUAGGGCAUCUAUUGUUAUCCGUUUUUCUUCUUUGGGCAUGUUUUAAAUGGUGAUUAGUGGUAAAAAUCAUGCAGCAAUAUAAAUCUUCUUGUGAUUUGUUCUGUUAAUAACUCAGCCAAUCGGGGCAAGACUCGUACCAAAUAGUGUACGAAGGUUUUUGGGUCUGAUGGAGCACAGACCCUCCAGAGUAAAGAGUUGAAGAAGAAAAUGAUCUGUGCGAGGGACUAAAUACACACUACUUGGGACAAAUACUUAGAAUGACCCUCUCAUAAAGUACAGUUUCUUCGAUGUUGCAAAUCACAAAUGCUGUAAAGGAGAGCAAUUAUAUUCAUCAUAUAAAUUUUUUGUCCUCUGCAUUCAUUUUUUUCUGCCUAACUCGGCUAAUGUGCUUCCAAACGUUGGCUAUUGCCUUGGCUACUAUAUCUACUUCCCUAUCUAUCAGCCUAAGAGGGUUGUUAAGAUGGAAGAGAAAGAGCAACAUUGUAAUACAAAUUGAUCUCUCGUAUGGAAAAUAUCCAAUAGAAAAAGAGGCCAAUGAGAAAGAAUAACAAGAAAAAGUUUACAUUCCACACUGCUUUUUUAUUUUGUGUGUGUGUGUGUGUGUGUGGAAAGACUUUAUGAGCAAAUAUCAAAACAGGGAUAGUACAUGAUGACGUUUAAAAAAAAGGAAAAAAAAAAAAAAAGCCUUGUUGCAUCAGGACCAUUCUCUAGAUAAACUUGAAAUUUCAGAGAAAACAAAAAUGUGUAGAUCUGCCAACUCAAAAAGGAUUAUAGCCGCCAAAUAGAUCACUUUCUUUACAAUUCCAGGUGAACUAAGCACCAAUGAACUCACGAAAAAGUCUCCCUUCCACCAUUACC